rnacentral:rRNA from 1 species
UUAUUUGAUUUUCUUCGGAACUGAAGAUUUGGUGAUUGAGUGGCGGACGGGUGAGUAACGCGUGGGUAACCUGCCCUGUACAGGGGGAUAACAGCCAGAAAUGACUGCUAAUACCGCAUAAGACCACAGCACCGCAUGGUGCAGGGGUAAAAACUCCGGUGGUACAGGAUGGACCCGCGUCUGAUUAGCUAGUUGGUAAGGUAACGGCUUACCAAGGCAACGAUCAGUAGCCGACCUGAGAGGGUGACCGGCCACAUUGGGACUGAGACACGGCCCAAACUCC